GGAAGGGACACCAAAUGAGCAGACAACUGGUGAUUUCCAGGUGAUCUAAGUGCCAUAAAGAAGUCAAGAGUUUUGGACUCACCUAAAGCAUGAGAAGGAGCCAGGCCUGCUUACAUCAGAGAGGAAGGGUGGUCGUGGGAAGAGUCUGGCUUCGGGGACUCUGCCUCCUGGAGCAGUGAAGGGGAGAUUUAGGGGACACUGAGGAGUGCGCCUGGGGCUGCCCCUGCCCCACCCUGGGUACCUCCGCAGCCUGCCGGCCACCACGGACUGGACGGUCGUGGAAGAGAG
rnacentral:lncRNA from 1 species